UACGUAGGGUGCGAGCGUUAAUCGGAAUUACUGGGCGUAAAGCGUGCGCAGGCGGUUUUGUAAGCCAGAUGUGAAAUCCCCGGGCUUAACCUGGGAAUGGCAUUUGGGACUGCAAGGCUUGAGUGCGGCAGAGGAGACUGGAAUUCCUGGUGUAGCAGUGAAAUGCGUAGAUAUCAGGAGGAACACCGAUGGCGAAGGCAGGUCUCUGGGCUGACACUGACGCUCAUGCACGAAAGCUGGGGAGCAAACAGG
rnacentral:rRNA from 1 species